GCCGAAAUCAAGAGUCAGCUAUGUAACCGACUGAGCCACCCAGGCGCCAAUAAUAGAAGGGAAAGAACAGAAGGGACGGGAGGCAGCUUUUGGAGGCAAUGGGCACGGUACAUGACCCGGGCUGGGCCAGAGUUCUUCACCCCCCUCACCUCUGUGAUGGACCCACGGUGGCCGUUUAGGAGCUGCCAAAGCUGGAGCUACCUGCCUCCUCUGAUUGCACCGAGAUGGAAAUGGCAGGUCACCCGGAAAUAGACCGAUCGAGUAUUUCAUGCUUCCUCCGUCUCCUGUCAUCACAACAUUUGCCCUUUCUGGACCUCGCCUAUGAAUGGAGUCAUAUAUGUGGUUUUUCUUACCUGGCUUCUUUCACUUAGUCAGAUGUUUCCAAGGUUACCCAUACUGUGGCAUAUACGGAUGUUCAUUUCUCUUUCUUGCUGUGCAGCAUUCCAUGGUAUGGCUCUAGUAUUUUGUUGAUGCGUUCACCCAUUGAUGGGCCUUGGGAUUGUUUCCAUUUGGGGGCAAUUAUGAAUAAUGCUGCUGUGAAGGAUUGCAUACAAGUUUCCGUGCAGAGCAAUGGCUCUUUUGAUGAUGUUGAAUUCUUCUUCACUUCACCACAGAGAAACAGGCUCUUUCUUGGAAGAGUACAUAGGCCUUCGUGAACCUUGCUUUGAAUAAUGGAUAACAGCUUCAAACUCAUCUGCUACCCCAGAGAAGGCAAAAUUGUUAUAGGGGCUGUCAGAAGGUCUCAGUCCCUAUACAGAAGAUUUCCCCAUGUCUCUCUUAACAAGGUGGGAUAAGAACCAGGUAGGACCCAUUAGUUCCUCCCUGGAUUGAUAAACAUACGGAUGUCUGGAAAAAUCUCCUUUCUCACUGGAGUGGCUAUGCAGAGAAAAUGUAAAGUUGGCACCCACGAGGGUCCCUUGUCCUCUACGUGGAAGGAGCCUGUUGGCAAAAUCCAUUCAUUCAUUCAACAAUACUGUUGAAUGGCUUCCAUACGCAAGACACUGUUCCAGGUAUUAGGGAUACAGGUGUGGGAGAAACACACCAAAAAACUACAAAAAACCCUGAACUCAUAGAGCUCGCUUCUAGUUGGGGAGACAGACCAUUAAAAAAGAGGAAAAAUAGAAGAUAUGUCAUAUGGUGAUAUGUAUUAUGGAGAACAUUUAGCAGGGAAGGCAAACGAGUUCCUGGGAGAGGAGAGAGGUUGCUAUUUUGAAGAGGAAAGUUGGUGAAGGGAGAUCAGAUUGAAAAGGUGACAUUUGAGCAAAACCUAAAGGAGGUUGUAUUAUCUAAAUCUAUCUAAUGAAUUGCCGCAGACUUAGCUGCUUGAAAUAACAUAUAUUUCUUAGCUGGCUCCUCUGUUUCAGGGUCUCUCUCAAGUCUUUAAUAAGGGGUCAGCUGGGUGGGGGUCUCACCCGAAGGUGCAACCAGGGAAGGAUCCGCUUCCAAGCUCACAUGGUUGUCAGAAUUUUAACUACUCUAGAGCUAUUGGACUGGGGUCUCAAUUUCUAAUAGGGCACCCUCAUCUCCUUGCCACGUGGGUCUCUCCAACAUGGGAGCUUGGGUUAUGCAGAAAGAGUUGGCUACCAAGGCAGAAAUUACUGCCUUGCAUAACCUAAUCACAGAAGUGACAUCUCAUCACAUGUGAUAAGUUCUGCCCAUACUCAAUGGGAGGAGAUUAUACAAGGGCGUCCAUACCAGGAGGCAGAAUCAUUAUGGGCCAUCUAGUAUGCUGCCUGUUAUUCAGGUGAAAGAGUGAGCCAUGGGGGAGCUCAGAGGGAGGAGUGUAACAGGCAGAAGAAACAAGUGCAGAGGCCCUGAGGUGGGAUCUUGACUGGAGUGUUUAACAGCGAGGAGGCGGGUGUGGAGUGGAACGUGCAAGGGGUAGUGGAGUAGAGAUCGGGACAGCAAAGGAGGUAAUGGGGGGGCCAGGUUGUGUGGGACCUUUAUGACUUAAGUGAGAUGAGCCACUGGAGGGUUUCCAGCAGAGGAAUGGCAUGAGCUGGCAUUUGUUCUAGAUCCUCGAUCCCCCAGUUGUGGUCUGCGGAUCACCCUUAAAGCUUGUUAGAAACGCACAACCUUAAGGCCCAUGCCAGGCCUAGUGAACCAGAGACUGCAUUUAACAAGAUCCCCAGGCGAAUGGAAUGCACAGUGAAGUUGGAACCCCAGUGGUUCUCACCCUGCAGCCAGUAUCAGAAUCACCUGGAGCAUUUCUUGAAACACAGCUUGCGAUCCCCCUCCCACCCCCUAGAAGUUUCUGAUUCAGUAGGUGCAGGUUGAGGACGGAGAUUCCGCGUUUCUAGCAAGGACCCAGAGACGCUGAUGCUGCUGGUCCAGGGACUGCACUUUGAGAACCACUGGCUUACAGUGUGCCUGGUGCCAGGACGCAGGGAUGAGGAAGACGACGUCCUUCUCUUGAAGUUGUGCAGAGCAUCAGACCCUGCUCCUGGCCUCUGGGGGAGGAUGACCCAUCAGACCCAAAGCUCUUUCCUUGUCCUAAGUCCUAGGAAAGCAGAUUUUAUGCACUGCCCCUUAAAACCACAUCAGUUGUCACCCUGGUGCCCACCCUGGCUCUCUGUUCUAUUUGCAGCUAAAUCUCAUCUCUGUCUCUCCUACCUGUGCCAGAGAGAGGGAGCAGGUGGUCACCAGUGCCCUGCUAAAGCUCUUCAGAUGUUUGCAGCCCAUUAUUAAAUCGCCCUCAGAUUUUCCUUCUUGAAGACGAAAUAAUUAGCUACCCUUCUCUGAAUCAUGGGGUGGAGAGGGUUUGCUGACGGGAGCUACCAGCCUCAGACAGGGGCGUAUGUGGUAGAAAUUCUUUUUUUUUUUUUUAAAGAUUUUAUUUAUUUAUUCAACAGAGAUAGAGACAGCCAGCAAGAGAGGGAACACAAGCAGGGGGAGUGGGAGAGGAAGAAGCAGGCUCCCAGCGGAGGAGCCCGAUGUGGAGCUCGAUCCCAGAAUGCCAGGAUCACGCCCUGAGCCCAAGGCAGACGCUUAACCGCUGUGCCACCCAGGCGCCCUGUAUGUGGUAGAAAUUCUUGAACCCGUGUGGGGGCUGGAGGUGAGAUGGGGUGGGGGCUUCAGAAGCUAGACCAGGGGACUCCUCAUCUCAGCAAGAUCCUUAGAAGUGAUGCCAGCAGACAGCAGGCAAGAUGACACGUCUGGCGUGAUGCAGAGAUCAGCUGGAGGUGAAGGGUCACCAGUGAGUCAAAUAUCUUCAGGGGUUAUGGGCACCAUCAGACACACCCCUGUCCCAGGGCCAUCUCCCAGCUGACUCAUUCCAGCCAACAGAUCGGCCCCAUUGGUGCCGAUCCUCAUAAGAAGGAAGUGUGUGAACAUCACAAAGAUGGUGUCCUGGCUUGGCAAGGUCAAGGUCAGACUUUGGACCACCUGCGUCUGCCAUCUCCUGAGAGGCUUGUUAGGAAAUGCAGACCUCCAGACCCCACCCCUACACUUACUGCAUCAGAGUCUCUGGAGGAGGAGUCUGAGAAUCGGGAUUUUAACAAAGCACUUAGUACGGUGAUUAGUAAUAAAAGCAACUUCGUGUGCUAUGUUUCCAUUCUGAAAAUAAAAAAUAGUCAUAACGAGCACCGUGCCAAGGGAUGAAUAUAGAUUGGCCUGUGGAAUCCUCACCUCCAUGAAAUGGGGACUGCUAGCAUCCCAUUCAAUGAAGAGGGAACUGAGGCACAGAGAGAUAGGUCUGAAGUCACACAUCUGCUAAGUGGCAGGCAGCACGACUUAGACCCAGGCCUGGCUGAUCCCAGAGGCCAGGAUUUUAACCUCUACUUUGUCCCUUCCUCCUCCCUAACACAACAUUCCCUUGCAAACUAUAAAAUAGAGUAAGGGGCGCCAUAGCCCCAGAUUCAAUGUCUGUUGUGGGAGAAAGAAACAGAUAACCACUAAUUGUGAACAUACACUAGUGUUUCACAUGCGUUUUUCUCACUUUCUUGACUUUACACCAGCCCUCAGAGGGGAGUAUCAUACCCAUUCUGCUGGUGAGGAACACUGAGGCUCACGGGGACAAAGCGGCCUGCCUGAGGCCACGCAGCUCUUUAUGUAGGCCAGUCUGGACUGGAAUCCAGAUCUCUUGCUAUCAUCAAGCCACACUGCCCUUGGUGAAGAUGGGGAAGAAGGGGGUCCAAUUCCUAUGUGGGGUUACUUGGUCACGUCCGCCUUGGGGAACACACCAGGUCGCUGCUUUGCCUCUUGCCAGACCAGCUGUUUAAUUAGCCCAGAGCCUUCUCGCUUCCCCAGAGUUCAGAAACACUGCUCAGGGUAUGGGCACAGCUAAAACAGGAUCGGAAUGGCAUGUUCGGGAAGCUGUAUGAUUAAAACUGACUUAGAAGAUGAGUGCUGCCAGCCUGUUUGGCAGAAAUAGAAAGUCACCUAACCAGAACGCGUGUUGCCCACAUGGUUGCCAGAGACUGCUUUUUGCUGUUCUAGUGCUUUUGAAUUAUAACUGAUAUCCUGAGAUCUGUGGUUUGCACUGCCUCUCCUAACUACCUUCUUAAGGAUCCUGAAAAGAAAACCAUUAUUAUAUGUCUGCCCUCUGGGGUUGGAGGGGAGAAGGUGAGGAGCCAGGUUCCUUUUAGAAGCUGUGUACUGUGGUGAGCCCAGAAGUGUCCCCAGGAGACGACUGAAGACUUAUCUCAUGAUCAACUCUAAGCACCGUUCUGCCUUAGGGGGGUCUGAAUCCUGGAACCAACUCAUCUGCCCAUCGGACACCUCCCUACCACCCCUGGCCAUGUCCCAUAGCCACGCCAUUAUGGGCGUGUCAUUUUGUCUCCCAGAAUGUCUUUCCUAGAGAACCCCAUCGUCCCCCUCUCUGCGUGGUCUUCAUGGGACAGUGGCUCAUGAUCUCUGCUCACCUGGUCUGGGUGGACUCAAGCAGGGUGCUGCCCCCUCUGGACACAGUGCUUGGUCCAGAGGUGGGCACUUAACCCAAACAGGACCAAUUCGAAUUUUUUCCUUAAGAUUUCAUAAAAAGUCUCUCUUACUUCUGGAGCAUAAACUAUUAAAACAGAAACUCAAGUCCACUACUGCCCAUGUUUCUGCCUCGUGAAGCAAACCUACUCCAGGAGAAAAAAAAUCCAAUGUUCAGAGAAAAGCUGUGGCGAGGUGAGAUAUGGGGAGAGUAAGGCCUUGUGACUUCUUUUGCAUCUCUAAAUCCAGCCACGGCUGUAGGAUUUGCCCUUGGACUUCCCAGGUAAUGAGCCCGUACAUUCUUUUUAGCUCGAUCCGGAUGGAAUGGAGUUUCUUCCAGGAACCCUCCAUAAUACGCAUCUGAGAUUCAACAUAUCCAAAUAGAAAACCCCGACUUCUCCCUCCAGCAAACCUGCCUUCCUCCAGCCUCCCCUGCCUUCCACAACCUCCCUCACUGCUCAUUCAGUGCCAGCCAUUGAUUCACUGCCAUGAGCAUAGUUCAGGCUCAAAGCAUUUCACACUUGGAUUGAUGCAACGUCCUCCCUGCCUCCAGGCUUGUCUACUCCAAGUCCACAGACAGACAGACAGACAGACACACACACACACACACACACACACACACACCCCUGAGAAAAUCCUUCUGGGCCUGAACCUUCCCGCUCUUCUGUGGAGUAACUCACCCGGCUGCAAGGCAUUUGGCCUCUCCCAUGUGUUGAACUUCACCUGACGCCAUCCUCCCCUCUCUCCAGCCAGAGAAUUACUUGUCAGUUCCUACUCUCACUCCUAAGCUAAUGCACACAUUACCUGCAGGGGUUCCUAAUCCUUUCUGUGCCAUGGACCCCGUGCUAGUCUGCUGCAGCCUAUAGAUCCCAUCUCAGAAUAAUGUCUUUAAAUCAUAGAGUGGAAUACAUAAGAUUAUAAUGAAAUGAUAGUUCUAUUGGUAUAUACUUAUCAAAAUAUUAAAACUA